rnacentral:tRNA from 1 species
UCCCUGGUGGCUCAGACGGUAAAGUGUCUGCUUACAAUGCAGGAGACCCAGGUUCAGUCCCUGGGUUGGGAA